UGGGGAAUAUUGCACAAUGGGCGCAAGCCUGAUGCAGCCAUGCCGCGUGUAUGAAGAAGGCCUUCGGGUUGUAAAGUACUUUCAGCGGGGAGGAAGGGAGUAAAGUUAAUACCUUUGCUCAUUGACGUUACCCGCAGAAGAAGCACCGGCUAACUCCGUGCCAGCAGCCGCGGUAAUACGGAGGGUGCAAGCGUUAAUCGGAAUUACUGGGCGUAAAGCGCACGCAGGCGGUUUGUUAAGUCAGAUGUGAAAUCCCCGGGCUCAACCUGGGAACUGCAUCUGAUACUGGCAAGCUUGAGUCUCGUAGAGGGGGGUAGAAUUCCAGGUGUAGCGGUGAAAUGCGUAGAGAUCUGGGGGAAUACCGGUGGCGAAAGCGGCCCCCUGGACGAAGACUGACGCUCAGGUGCGAAAGCGUGGGGAGCAAACAGG
rnacentral:rRNA from 1 species